rnacentral:rRNA from 1 species
UACGAAGGGGGCUAGCGUUGCUCGGAAUCACUGGGCGUAAAGCGCACGUAGGCGGACUCUUAAGUCGGUGGUGAAAUCCUGGAGCUCAACUCCAGAACUGCCUUUGAUACUGGCGAUCUCGAGUCCGGGAGAGGUGAGUGGAACUGCGAGUGUAGAGGUGAAAUUCGUAGAUAUUCGCAAGAACACCAGUGGCGAAGGCGGCUCACUGGCCCGGUACUGACGCUGAGACACGAAAGCGUGGGUAGCAAACAGG